GGCAAAAUUAAAUGUGUGAAAUACUGUAUAAUUCAGCUUUAGUAGUUAAGAUGGUAGCUGAUGUUUGGUACUGGUAGGUUGUACAUCCAGAUACCUAUAUUAAACAAAUCUUCUUUAAAAAUUGAUUUCUAUCUUUAAAACUCUUUUAAAGGUCUUUAGAGCCAGCAAAAAUAAACUAGGCAUAACAAUCUGAAUACUUUACAGGCUGAAGACAGAACUUUAUGGAAUCUAUUCAAACUUGCAGAAAUGUUACAAAAAAACAUAUCAUAGCUUGCUAAGUGCCCUGCAAAGCAAAAAACAAACAUCUUGAACUCUUAAUGUGACAAGUCUUAUUUGAAAUUUUCACAUUCGAAUCUCGAUUCUGGUAUUGCAAAAUACGAGUGGGCUCGCGAGUGGGUGCCAACAACUGUGUAAACGAUUCUUCUUCGGAACACCGCCACGUUUAGUCACCGCAUUAGCGGACUUCACUCCAUUAAAAAGGUCAUUACACCCGCCGUCUUGUGGCCAAAUUAGAAGCUUAAUCUAAGAACUUAAGAGCACAAAUGGCUUACUAUAUUUAUACACUUCGUAUUUUAAGAAAUGGCAAGUUUUAAUUCAUUAUUGAACAUUUCGGUUAAAAUCUUUUUGUAUGAUGGUUUUAUGACUUCUGUGAUGAGAUUUCUCUACUAUUUUGAGUUUGGUUCUAAUAGAGUGUUUUUAUAUACGCUAUUGUUCAUUUCUUUUCAUAUGUUAAAUUCGUCCCAUGUGGACUGUGCUUCCACAUUUUGUGGUACAUCUAGUGUUAAAAACUUAUAGUUCAAUUUUUUUAUAACAUCUCACAUUAGCCACAUUGGACUUUCAAAUACCCAUUAGAGCAGUAAUUCGCCACCUUUAUAUGUUGCGUUUUUUGUUACCAUUUUCUCAUCAAGAUGCUAAUUAUCUAGAAUCAGUCAUGUGAGCAACAAAUUCUUUACUUUUUAUCAUAAAUUGAUGUAUUCUUGAAAAGUUAAUUAACGUUAAAUACAUUUAUAUUGAGUUCUUGGACACGACGUGAGUGAGUUUCAACGUCGAGUAAAUUUAACCCGCAAUAUCCAGUGGUCCGUGAACGGGUAUCAAUUAUUAAUUUAAAUGAGAAAAAAAACUCAUCGGCUAGCUAUACGCCACAUGUCGCGUUCCAUCCGAGGCGAGUAGAAACGAAAACGUACAAAACAGUAGUUCCUUUAUUAAAAUUUCAAGACACAGCUCUCAUCCACGCGUAAAGUCGGACACGGACGCACGAUGGCAUCGCACUAUCGCGAGCGUUUCCACAGAACACAUACGCGGCCCAACUACCGAUGACGCCGCUCCCUGUCGCACUCGCGGCGUGGAGCAGCCGUCUCGCUCUACACGCACGAUCCAUCGCCGGUCGUGGUCCGCUCGUCACGUCCCUCACGGUCGUAUAUCUAGCGCAUAGGAGCUAGAUUGGUGCGUCGAAUAUUCAAAAUAGGGAAGGUAGUAAUGGAUGCGAGUGGCGUGCGCGUGUGUGUGUGCGUGUAGCCGGUCGCCCCUCCCCCUCCGCCCCCGCCGCCACUCGCCGCGGAGGCCGCGCGGCGCGCGUGUGCCCUUCUUGGAGCGACGCGCGGAGCGCGAACACGUCUCGACUUCAAUUGUUUUUUUGUGUUCGAAUUUCGAAACGAACAUUUUACAAGAUUUGGCGCGCACUUUUCAGUCUUGCAACUUCUUAUAAGAUAAAAAUUUUUGAAAGUUUUUUUUUAAUGGAAUUUAAAAAAAAAGUGUUGGUUUUUGGGGAAUUCAGCUGAGCGUAGAGAAAGCGAUGAUGUCCAAUAACUAUAACACUUGUAUCAAAUACGAAGAAAUACUUUUUGAACCUUACGCUGAAAUAGAAGAUACAAUUAAAAAAUAAGGAUUAAAAUAUUUUAUUGUGAAAGUUUAAAUGAAUGAACUUACAAGUGAGUAGCUACUUAGUGCUUCAGUGAUGGAAUCAUGCGAUGCAUGGAAACAAGACUUUGGCGCCCAAACAGUGCCAACGAGGCAAUCGCCGCCAAACGUUGAGAAAUCAAUAAAGAACUCGAGUUUACCAUCCAGUGUGCACUUCACAUGGAGAAAUAAACCGGAUUUUGAUGUGAUGCUGAUUAGAGCUGUCAAAUUAUAAUUUGACUGCAAACAGCCAGUGACAGUUGAAAAAGUGUGGAAAUCUCAGAAUACUGAGUAAGUAAAAAUUGCAACAUUCCUAAGAGCUAGUACUGUUGUCAGCGUAAGUAGGUUUUUAGUAAUUUAUUUAAUUAUAAUAAACCUCUUUGGGGGAUCCUCAAUAUUGAGUCAUGUGGCCGGUAGACUCAUUGUCUUGCGUCGCUCGUGAGUCACGGUAGGCCAUCGGUUCGUUACACAAUGGACGUCUUUGUGUAUUGUCCUAUGAGACCUGGUGUUACGCAUAUUCUUGUACCAUUCAACUUGUAUUUGGGUCAGCGUCACCACUCACCACAUACUUACCUCUUUCCUUUCAUGCAUAUUAAUAGCAGUCACAACACUCACAACUAGUCAUAAAACUUUGAUGUCAGUAGUUUUAUUCACAGUUUAUGGAUACUAUCUUUGUAAGAAGCAUCUUUUUCUAAUCCACCAAUUUUUUUUAUAAUAUAAUAUGAAAUGCAAUAUCUCAUACGGCACGCGUCGGGUCGCCCUCGAACAUUCCAAGUUUGAACUACAAAGGGCAAAAAAACCAAAAAGGGUCUGGCCGAAUAUAAAAGAUACGCGAAAACUCAAUCGGCGCUACCGACAAUAAAGUAUAAAAUCGCCCAAUGCACAUGUAGAAUAAGGAUGUAAACUAUUUUCGAGAGUUUAAAUUUUGAAUUCAGAAUCCCCUAUCUGAGUUGGCGCGUUUCAACUGGUAGGCGGGAAAAGUGGCCGUACGUUUAGAAAUGUCAAAACAAAUUAGUUGUAUUCUAUAUGUUGGUGUGUGCAAAUUCAGUGCUUCUCUAUCUGCACACAUCGCUUCCACGGGUGUGAAAGGGACAGUCGGAUAACAGUUUACGAUGAUCGAAUCCAAUUUAUUGAAUUAUUCCCCCUCUUGGCUUUUAAUGGAUUGGGUUACCUACCUACUCUAGGUAUUAAUAUUAUAAUGCUGUGUGGUUAUCUUGUUUGUUUUCUUCCAAUGGUAGGAAUAUAAAUAUCUAGAUUUGAUACUAAAAUGUAAGAGUCCUAACAAAAACAUCACAUUAAACAUCUAUGUAGGUAUAGUAUUUUUGACGAGAGAAUAAGAACAUCGCACAUGACAGGGCGCAUUUGUUAUCGUUCCCACAAGGGCAGUUACAGAAAUUGCUUUAAAUCAACCAAGUUUCUAAACGGUUGCCAUACCACAAAUCAUCGCAACACGCACCCCACAAAAAGAAACGAAACAAUUCAAAAACCGAACAACCAAUCGCCAUUAGCAGCCAGCUACACCGAUAUCCGAAAAACGCAUAAUUACAGCACUGGCCGCAAAAUCAAACGGAAAAAACAACAAAAAUCGAAUUACGAAAUUGCUUAUGAGUAAUUCAAAUAUCGAAUGAUGCGUCGAGUGGGUGGCGACGCGUUGGUUGAUGGGGUAAAAAUUACCCCCGGGGGUGAUUGGGGCCCUCUCCAACUACAUGGCACCCGAAUACGAGUAGUCUGCGUAUGUUUGUGUGCGUGACGCGAGUAUGUGUGAAUGUGCUAUGUGUUGGCGGAGGGUAUGAUAAUGGCGUAUUUCCGUUCUCGAGUGGUCCCUCUUGCGAAUGCAGCGCCUACUGUGAAAUUCUGCGAUAGCAAGCUCUUCAAAUGAGUUAUAGCGGCCGCUUUUAAAUGUUGCAAAAAACGAUUCCGUAUUAGGUAUUUUGAAGCAACGACCGAAAUAGUAAUAGGGGUGCUAAAAGUACCUCCUGUCUAAAUGUGAAUGUGUGUUGGCUCAGACAAGAAAAAUAUUGCGAAGUGCAUCACAACACAAUACGUUGCCUCAAAAUAGCUUGAAAAUACUUUUAAUAUAUUUCGAUUAUAGUAAGCUAGGAAAACAAUUACCUACUCAAGACCAAAAUUCGUUAUAUGUAAGCAUUUUUAAAGACAUUUUGUUCUACUUAUAACCACGCAGGUAGGUCAAAACAAAACAAGAAACAUGUUGUAACCAAUAAGAGCAGUCUCAAUCUAACCCUAAAACCGGCCGCGGAAAAAGCUCAACUUCACACAUAAUUACGCAAGCGUUAACCCUGCCCUUGGGAGGUUUUUUUUUAAUUGCGGCCAUAAAAUUUGAAUAUGGAAUACCGGGGAAAUGUCCCCAUAAAGCCACGCGAGCAUGCAUCGCCUUUUGGCAAGGCGCUAGUCUUUUUCUCUUGCUAAUGGGCCGUAACAGCGUAGUACUAAAAUUGUUUUUUUUUAUGGAUAGCACCAGUACCAUUUUGAGCCAGUAAUAAAUGCCUGCACGUUUAAUUUGCAAUGCGUCGAGCAUUAUUUGCGCAGUGUCUCAGUGUUGCCAGUAUGUAUAUCGUUAUUUGGAACGGGUUAUAGUUUUUGCCGUGAUAUCGCUCUCGGCGUUUUUGUUUCGAACUAUGUUGAUUCUGUUUUGUUUUAAUAAACAUAAUGAGUUUUAGUUACGUAGCCUACGUAUGGGGUCUAAGCUGCAAGUUGGUUAGUAGAAUCGGACCGCAGUUGUGCACAAAACGACCUGCCAACACGCAUUGCGGUGUCGAAUGCGUAUUUAUGAAGUUUCAGAACGUUACUAGC